ACGGGGUGCAGCAGGCGCGAAAACUUUACAAUGCUGGAAACAGCGAUAAGGGGACCUCGAGUGUCAGGAUACAAUCCUGGCUGUCGUAAUGCCUAAAAAGCAUUGCAUAGCAAGGGCCGGGCAAGACCGGCGCCAGCCGCCGCGGUAACACCGGCGGCUCGAGUGGUAACCGCUAUUAUUGGGUCUAAAGGGUCUGUAGCCGGCUGACUAAGUCUCUUGGGAAAUCUGGCAGCUUAACUGUCAGGCUUUCAGGAGAUACUGAUCGGCUCGAGACCGGGAGAGGUGAGAGGUACCUCAGGGGUAGGGGUGAAAUCUUGUAAUCCUUGAGGGACCACCAGUGGCGAAGGCGUCUCACCAGAACGGAUCUGACGGCAAGGGACGAAAGCUAGGGGCACGAACCGGAUUAGAUACCCGGGUAGUCCUAGCCGUAAACGAUACUCGCUAGGUGUCGGCCACGGUGCGACCGUGGUCGGUGCCGUAGGGAAGCCGUGAAGCGAGCCACCUGGGAAGUACGGCCGCAAGGCUGAAACUUAAAGGAAUUGGCGGGGGAGCAC
rnacentral:rRNA from 1 species